CAGUCGCCGCGGUAAUACGAAGGGUGCAAGCGUUACUCGGAAUUACCGGGCGUAAAGCGUGCGUAGGUGGUGGUUUAAGUCCGUUGUGAAAGCCCUGGGCUCAACCUGGGAAUUGCAGUGGAUACUGGGUCACUAGAGUGUGGUAGAGGAUAGUGGAAUUUCCGGUGUAGCAGUGAAAUGCGUAGAGAUCGGAAGGAACAUCUGUGGCGAAGGCGACUAUCUGGGCCAACACUGACACUGAGGCACGAAAGCGUGGGGAGCAAACAGGAUUAGAUACCCCCGUAGUCCCUGUCUCUUAUAC
rnacentral:rRNA from 1 species